rfam:Erinaceus europaeus unplaced genomic scaffold scaffold00740, whole genome shotgun sequence
ACUAAGGCCCUUUUAAGGGCCACUCAUUUUACUCUAAUAGGAAGUGG